rnacentral:rRNA from 1 species
GGAAGGGGUGUAUUUAUUAGAUUAAAAACCAAUGCCCUUCAGGGGCUCUCUGGUGAUUCAUGAUAACUUCUCGAAUCGCAUGGCCUUGCGCCGGCGAUGGUUCAUUCAAAUUUCUUCCCUAUCAACUUUCGAUGUUUGGGUAUUGGCCAAACAUGGUUGCAACGGGUAACGGAGGGUUAGGGCUCGACCCCGGAGAAGGAGCCUGAGAAACGGCUACUACAUCCAAGGAAGGCAGCAGGCGCGCAAAUUACCCAAUCCCGACUCGGGGAGGUAGUGACAAUAAAUACUGAUACAGGGUUCUUUCGGAUCUUGUAAUUGGAAUGAGUACAAUUUAAAUCCCUUAACGAGGAACAAUUGGAGGGCAAGUCUGGUGCCAGCAGCCGCGGUAAUUCCAGCUCCAAUAGCGUAUAUUAAAGUUGUUGUGGUUAAAAAGCUCGUAGUUGAACCUUGGGCCUGGCUGGCCGGUCCGCCUCACCGCGUGUACUGGUCCGGCCGGGCCUUUCCCUCUGUGGAACCCUAUGCCCUUCACUGGGUGUAGCGGGGAACCAGGACUUUUAC